UACGAAGGGGGCUAGCGUUGUUCGGAAUUACUGGGCGUAAAGGGCGCGUAGGCGGCCUGCUAAGUCGAACGUGAAAUCCCUGGGCUCAACCCAGGAACUGCGUCCGAUACUGGUUGGCUUGAAUCCGGGAGAGGGAUGCGGAAUUCCAGGUGUAGCGGUGAAAUGCGUAGAUAUCUGGAGGAACACCGGUGGCGAAGGCGGCAUCCUGGACCGACAUUGACGCUGAGGAGCGAAAGCCAGGGGAGCAAACGGG
rnacentral:rRNA from 1 species